rnacentral:ncRNA from 1 species
GAAAGGUCGGGUAUUUACCCGGCUGGAUGCGAACACCGCAUCCCAUUUAGG